rnacentral:misc_RNA from 1 species
UCUCCGUUGGUGAACCAGCGGAGGGAUCAUUACCGGGAAAGCGCCGCAAGGCCGAACCCAACCCAACCCUUUGUGAACCUUACCCAAGGAAAAACAUGUUGCUUCGGCAGGCGGCCCCGCUGGGGGGGGCCAGCCGCCCGGCGCGCGAUACAGCCGGGCGCCUGCCAGGGGCCCAACAGAAUUGCAUCUCCCAGAGACAGACAUCUCGAGAAAACUUUUAUUGAAAAACCGAUACAACCUUCAACAGUGGAUCUCUUGGUUCCG